CACAGCAGGCGCUUAAUAAGGUUUGUUGAAUGAGUGAACAAGUACGAGGCACGUCGGGCUGGAGAAGAUGACCCCCUGCUUCCUCGAGGCCCCUCUCAGACCCGGACACCAGGUCCACGUGGCCGAGGCUGGCGUUGCUGCUGUCUCCAUUCACCGUGUUGUAUCCGGGAGAUGCUGCCAAGGGCAGCCUUGGGCCUCCGGAUGGGUUGACUGAUUAAUUACUGCCAGCCCCGGGAAGAGAACACAGCCAGCCGCCAGCUCGGAGCUGCUGGCAGGGCUCCAAGCACCCCUCCUGGCUCCUCCUGGCAGAAUACACAUUGCAGCUGAAAAGGAUUUGCCUUCAUCCUGACCUGUCCUAGACUAGGUCAGCUGAAGGCGGAUCUGGAAAGCAAGCCACUUCUUGAAGGGAAAAGCACAGAACACUUACCAACCCCGGCAUUGUGCUAGACCCAGGACUCGGGAAUUCACACUGAAUCCUUACAACCGCCCUCGGAAUGAAGUCUGACAGUCCUUCCACUUACCCACCUGAAAACUACUGAGAGCUUAAGCAACUUGUCCAACAUGGAAGAGAAGAAUCACCAGUGCCCAAGGAGACAUACAGACUUCCUCACCCCUGCAGGAGGGUGGAGGGAUAGUAAUGGGGUGGGAGAGGGAAGG